rnacentral:lncRNA from 1 species
GCUGCUUGCGCAGCUGCUCCGUGCCAGGCUUGGAGGACCAGGAGAAGGGGUAGUCACUUGCCACAGCUGGAGGCUGGAGCGUGUGGCACCACGGCUCGCCUCGCUGUGGUGGGUGCUGGCGACAGAGACGGCAGCUCGGCUGGACUGCUCUGUUUUUACCCUUUCUCCGGGCUGUUAUUGUCAUACAAAUUACAUCUUUAUACAUGUUGUGCUGAACAACAAGUCGAUUUGUAGGUGUUUCUUUGUGAAGUUAUCCUCUAAAUCAGAUUUGCUGAGAUUUGUUUUGUGGCCUAACAUCUGAUCUACCCUGAAGACACUUCCAUGUGCUGAUGGGGAGAAUGCAUACUCUUCAACUGUUGAGUGGGAUGUUCUGUGAAUAUCUGGUAAAAAAACUGAGGCUUAGAAACAUUGAAAAAAACUUGCUCAACGUUGCAAAACAAGAAAUUUGUGACACUGGAAUUGACAUCUACAAGGGACUGAUGUAACUAAUUGCUGGAUACAUGUCCCUCAAAGACACAGAAACAGAUCUUGUAUUCUAGUGGAUCUCCGGCACCCAGUGAGGGCCUGAAACAGAGUACAUGUCCAACAAAUAAUUAUUGAAGUAAAGAUUGACAUUUCAGGAGCAGAGAUUAAUAUUCAAAAACAAAGAUGAGAAUUUUGGCAGAAAAGUCAAAAUGAGUCCAGGAAAUGUAUUUGUGGGCCAUCCUACAGAAGUUAUAAUGAAUGGAAAAACGUGAAGAACCUUCUAUUCUCCCAAGGAUAUCGUGAGGGAAUCGUCACUGUAUCUGGAAGCCAGAUGCCAAAGAUGUUCAGUUAUUAUCAAUGUAUCUAUGCAUAAAGGAUUGAAAAUGAUUCUUCAUGCCAUAAUUUAUCUAAAUAUUCAUUCCUUUGGAACACUGUUUUCCACCAAUAGUAACAAGACUUGGAACAAAAUAAAAUAGCAAUAUCAUGUGCAUUUUCUAUUUCUGCACUUUUCCACUUCUGGAAAUAGUCAUAGAAUCAUUUUGUGACAGAUUAAUAUCAUCCAUGAUCCUAAGUCACUAAGAAUAAGUGUUAGAUUCUUUGGGUUAAAUUGCC